AGAGUUUGAUCAUGGCUCAGGACGAACGCUGGCGGCGUGCCUAAUACAUGCAAGUCGAACGAACUCUGGUAUUGAUUGGUGCUUGCAUCAUGAUUUACAUUUGAGUGAGUGGCGAACUGGUGAGUAACACGUGGGAAACCUGCCCAGAAGCGGGGGAUAACACCUGGAAACAGAUGCUAAUACCGCAUAACAACUUGGACCGCAUGGUCCGAGCUUGAGAGAUGGCUUCGGCUAUCACUUUUGGAUGGUCCCGCGGCGUAUUAGCUAGAUGGUGGGGUAACGGCUCACCAUGGCAAUGAUACGUAGCCGACCUGAGAGGGUAAUCGGCCACAUUGGGACUGAGACACGGCCCAAACUCCUACGGGAGGCAGCAGUAGGGAAUCUUCCACAAUGGACGAAAGUCUGAUGGAGCAACGCCGCGUGAGUGAAGAAGGGUUUCGGCUCGUAAAACUCUGUUGUUAAAGAAGGACAUAUCUGAGAGUAACUGUUCAGGUAUUGACGGUAUUUAACCAGAAAGCCACGGCUAACUACGUGCCAGCAGCCGCGGUAAUACGUAGGUGGCAAGCGUUGUCCGGAUUUAUUGGGCGUAAAGCGAGCGCAGGCGGUUUUUUAAGUCUGAUGUGAAAGCCUUCGG
rnacentral:rRNA from 1 species